GGGGUCGUAGCCCAGCUAGGUAAGGCGACGGGCUCCAGACCCGUAGAUCGUGGGUUCAAGAGACGCUCUGUCUUGGAAUCUUCCAAAGAUUUUCCAAAAGAGAAACCCUGAGAAUCCCACCGACCCCA
rnacentral:tRNA from 1 species